GAUACGCUACGGCAGGCUACACCCUGCAAGUCGAGGGGUAGAAUGUCUUCGGAUAUUUGAGACCGGCGCACGGGUGCGUAACGCGUAUGCAACCUACCUUUUACUGGGGAAUAGCCCGGAGAAAUUCGGAUUAAUGCCCCAUAUGCUCGUACGACCUCAUGGUCGAGCGAGGAAAGUUCCGGCGGUAAGAGAUGGGCAUGCGUCCUAUUAGCUAGUUGGUGAGGUAAUGGCUCACCAAGGGCGACGAUAGGUAGGGGGCCUGAGAGGGUGAUCCCCCACACUGGUACUGAGACACGGACCAGACUCCUACGGGAGGCAGCAGUGAGAAUAUUGGGCAAUGGAGGAAACUCUGACCCAGCCAUGCCGCGUGCAGGAAGACGGCCCUAUGGGUUGUAAACUGCUUUUGUACGAGAAUAAACCCUUCCACGUGUGGAAGGCUGAAGGUACCGUACGAAUAAGGAUCGGCUAACUCCGUGCCAGCAGACGCGGUAAUACGGAGGAUCCAAGCGUUAUCCGGAUUUAUUGGGUUUAAAGGGUCCGUACGCGCGCGUUUUCCAAGCUCAGCUGGUGAAAGCCUACAGCUUAACUGUACAAUUGCCAUUAGAUACUGCAGACCUCGAGUGUACGUACAAAGUAGGCCGACAUACACGCAUGUCGCGCGCGAACACUGCCUACGAUAUGCCCUUAGAACACCCGAUCGCGAAAGGCAGACAUACUAUUGUUACAACUUGACACGCAUCGAAGGACACAAAACGCGU
rnacentral:rRNA from 1 species